GUGCCAGCAGCUGCGGUUAAACAAAAAAUACUAAUAAAUUAUAUUUAAUAAUAAUAAAAGUGUUUAUUAAUUAAAUAGAAAAAAAUAUUAAGUGAAAUUUUAUUUCUUUUUGUAAUUUUUAGAUUAAUUGAUUUUAAUAAAAUUUGAUUAUAAACUAGGAUUAGAUACCCUAUUAUUCAAUUUGUAAUUAAAAGUAUUUGAGUAGUAGUAGUUAAAGUCUUGAAACUUAAAAAAUUUGGCGGUAUUUUAGUCUAUUCAGAGGAACCUGUAGUGUAAUUGAUAAUCCACGUUGGACCUUAUUUAGUUUUGUUUUACAGUUUGUAUACCGCCGUUAUUAAAAAAUUUUAUAAGAAUAAUAAUUUUUAUGAUUUUUAAUUAAAAAAUAAAUCAGGUCAAGGUGCAGCUUAUAAUUAAAUAUUUUAUGGGUUACAAUAAAUUUAUUUAUUAUGAAUUAAAUUGUGAAAAAUAAUUUAUGAAAGUGGAUUUGAAAGUAAAUUUUUAUAGAUAAAAAA
rnacentral:rRNA from 1 species